CUGCUUUACUAUGUGGCUAUAUAGAUAUACAUAAUAUUAAAAGUGCAAAUAUGGUCAGUUUUGGUUGAUGCUGUAAAAUAAUUUUGUUAUACAAGUCAGCCUGAGGUAUCAAAACUACUGAAAUUUUCUUACGAGACAAUAUUUUGAAUAAAAAGAGGACAUGCUGGCUAUCUAGAUUGAUGGGGACAAAUUUUUGUUGUCAUUGUAUUGCAAUGUUGCUGUCAUUUGUAUUAUACAAUCCAUCCUGACAUCAAAAUAUUGCUGAUUUACUAUGCGGCUAUAUAGAUUUACAUAAUAAAGUGCAAAUAUGGUCA